UUAAAAUUUAAUUAAAAAUAAUUGAUUAGUAUUAGUUAUAGUCUUGAAAAUUAAUAAAUUUGGCGGUAUUUUAUUCUAUUUAGAGGAAUUUGUUUUAUAAUUGAUAAUACACAUUUAAUCUUACUUAAUUUAUUAAAAUUUGUAUAUCGUCGUCAUAAGAAUAUCUUAAAAAAGUUUAUUAAUAUUCUAACAUUUUAUUUAAAAAUUAUGUCAGAUCAAGGUGCAGUUUAUAAUUAAGAAAAAAUGAAUUACAAUAAAAUUAUUUAUAAUGAAUAAUAAAUUUAAAUAUUUAUUUGAAGGUGGAUUUAAUAGUAAAAUAAUCUAUAAAAAUUAUUUGAAUUUAGUUUUAAAAUAUGC
rnacentral:rRNA from 1 species